rnacentral:rRNA from 1 species
UACGUAGGGUGCAAGCAUUAUCCGGAGUGACUGGGCGUAAAGAGUUGCGUAGGUGGCUUUGUAAGCGAAUAGUGAAAUGUGGCGGCUCAACCGUACACACUAUUAUUCGAACUGCAAGGCUUGAGAAUGGUAGAGGUAACUGGAAUUUCUUGUGUAGGAGUGAAAUCCGUAGAUAUAAGAAGGAACACCAAUGGCGUAGGCAGGUUACUGGACCAUUUCUGACACUGAGGCACGAAAGCGUGGGGAGCGAACCGGAUUAGAAACCCUGGUAGU